rnacentral:rRNA from 1 species
GACGAACGCUGGCGGCGUGCUUAACACAUGCAAGUCGAAGAUCGUGGCGAACGGGUGAGUAAUACGUGGGUCCCCUGCCCUCCUUUUUGGGAUAAGCCUUGGAAACGGGGUCUACUACCGAAUAAAGGGGGAGGGGCUGGCGGCCUAUCAGCUUGUUGGUGGGGUGCUGGCCUACCAAGGCGGUGACGGGUAGCCGGCCUGAGAGGGUGAACGGCCACAUUGGGACGGAGAUGCGGCCCAGAGUAGUACGCGGGGCAGCAUUGGGCGAAAUUGGCCAAAGGGUGAAAGACUGAUGCCGCGAGUCCGCGUGGGGGAUGCAGGUUUUCGAGUUGUAACCCUGUUUCGCUAUCGAACCGGUAGGUGGAGAAGAAGCGCCGGCUAACUACGUGCCAGCAGCCGCGGUAAUAC